GGGGUGCCCAGCCUGGCAAGCAUCUAUUAGAAUGACUAUUGUAAGUAGACUGGUAGGGUCUCUGAAGUAAGACCAUGAACAAUCACAGACUGUCUGGAAGUACAUCUGAAACAAUCAGACUAAUCUUUGAUUAACCAGCUAAGGAGUAACUCUGGGGUAUGGGCCAAGGACAAGCCAUGGCGUCCUUCCUGGUAUUUGGAUACAUCUUGGAUUCAGUUGAAGAUCAAGUUCUCAGGCUUUUUUUUUUUUUUUUUUUUUUUUUUCCUUUUAAGAUGGAGUCCGGUCCCAAGAUGGAGUAGGUCUGGGCUUUCAGUGGCAGGCAUUAGGCACACACAGGCACACACAGGGCACACACAGGGCUCACACAGGCACACAUAGGUACACACAGGGCACACACAGGGCACACACAGGCACACACAGGGCACACACAGGCAUACACAGGGCACAUACAGGUACACACAGGGCACACACAGGCACACGCAAGCACACACAGAGCACACAUAGGCACACACAGGCACACACAGGGCACACACAGGCACACACAGGACACACAUGGGCACACACAGGCAUACACAGGGCACACAAAGGCAUACACAGGGCACAUACAGGUACACACAGGGCACACACAGGCACACGCAAGCACACACAGAGCACACAUAGGCACACACAGGCACACACAGGACACACAUGGGCACACACAGGCAUACACAGGGCACAUACAGGUACACACAGGGCACAUACAGGUACACACAGGCACACGCAAGCACACACAGAGCACACAUAGGCACACACAGGCACACACAGGGCACACACAGGACACACAUGGGCACACACAGGCAUACACAGGGCACACACAGGCAUACACAGGGCACAUACAGGUACACACAGGGCACACACAGAGCACACAUAGGCACACACAGG
rnacentral:lncRNA from 1 species